UGUGGCACCAACAUGAAAAGUUUGGAAAGCUCUGACCUAAACCCUUGUUGUUCCAGAUGCAUGCCAGGCAUGUAUGUAUAAUAUCACAAAAUAAUUCUGGGAUAACCAAUGCAGUCUUUUUAUAUAUUGCUAUUGAAACAUAGGUGAUGACCAUUCAGCUUGCUUGAAUGCUUUAUUUAAUCACAGGAUCCAUUGACUACAUGGAGCCUUGAUGUUUGUUUUCUCUUCUUGCCAGAAUUGUAAGUGCUUUCCUGCUGUUAAAUGUCUAUAGAUGCAGUAGAUGUUUAAAAAAGGCAUUGUGCACCUUCUUAGCUUAUUGUGCUUACAUCAAACAAAAGUAAACAACAACAAAAGCUGUAUAUCUUUCGAAAACCCACUUGCACUUCUUGAAGCAAAAAACAAACGUUUUGUGGAUUCUCCCUGUGGUCUUCCUGACAUCCUACAUGGAAUAGCAUUUCUUAAGCAUUGUUUUCAAAGUCCUCUGCAGUACCCUGUCCUGAAUAGUCUUCCCAGCUCCAUGCUAGAGAUUCUAAGCCAAGAAGAAAGAAAUUCUUGUUAUGCUGAGAGAACCAUGAUAGUGCUGACCUUUAAAGCCCUAAACAGCUUCAGUCCUAUAUACCUGAAGGAGCAUCUCCACCCCCAUCCUUCAAACACUGAGGUCCAGCUCCGAGGGCCUUCUAGCGGUUCCCUCACUGUGAGAAGUGAUGUUAUAGGGAACCAGGCAGAGGGCCUUCUCGGUAGUGGUGCCCACCCUGUGGAAUGCCCUCCCAUCAGAAGUCAAGGAAAUAAACAACUCUCUUACUUUUCAAAGACAUCUGAAGGCAGCCCUGUUUAGGGAAGUUUUUAAUGUUUAAUGCUGUAUCAUGUUUUUAAUAUUCGGUUGGGAGCCACCCAGAGUGGCUGGGGAAACCCAGCCAAAUGGGUGGGGUAAUAAUAAUUAUAAUAUAGGCUGAGGGGUUCUGCUUCUUCUAAAGGGUUAUCAUGGUCAUGGGAAUUUGGAUGAAGUUGUUGCUUUUUUCUGUAGAGGACUGCAACCACUUCUACAAUGAGCUUAUGCAGCCAACCAAGUGACCUUUCUUUUUCCACAUAGAACUUUGAAAGCAAAUAAAUAAUGGGUGAUAACCAAACUUAGCCAUAUAGCAGGGCCAUUGAAAUCAAUUGAUUUAAGCUAUUCCAAGUACGACUUAGUUAGAUAUCACUCAAAGUGACUAAAUAAUAUUCUUCAGAAACCUCAAUUUCUUCUUCAUUGCUAUUAUAAAUACUUUUUUUCUCACCUUGUGAAAUGCAAACUUAUAAAAUAAAUUUAAUUGCCAUUUUAUUGGAAUGAUUUUUCUUCCAUACACUCAAAUAAUUCAAAACCUUCUAUGUCUAAUGCCCUCCCUUGCGCUGACAUACCAAUAUAAUACAAGUAUUACGAAGAACUAGACAAUAAAGCAAAUGCAAAACACAAUAUCAAUAUUUUAAAGAGCAAGUGGUGUGGAUUUGUGCUGUGGUGACAUAUUCAACAUGGAAACAUGAAGGGAAGAAAUAAAUUAAAUAUUAAUUAGUCAAAUAGAAUAAUGAUAACUGGUUUCAUGCUUCGCCACUGUUGAAUAAAUCCAAAUUUUUAAAAGGAUGUGUAUGUUUGCAUAUGUGUUGCCUGGUUUGAUAUGAAUAAAAUGAUUAUUCUAA